rnacentral:lncRNA from 1 species
GAUGUGCGAUCGGAGUUUUCCUCUCUCAAAUCAAAUAUGCCACUGCCUCUCCGAUACGAUUGGAGCUUUAAUUCUAGUAUGUUUCUUUACACUGCUCAUCAAAAAAUCCUUGCUAAACACAGUACCUGCAAUUUUGGACGGGUUGUUCUAGUCCCAGUAUAGCUAAUCUAAGCCCCUCCGCAAAGAUUCCAGUAAGGGAUUCUUGUAGAGGAAUAUGUUGUGUUUAGUGCAGCCACGGUAAAAGGCCUUUUCCGGAGCAUUUUACUUUGGUAUCCUUCUAUCAACCUCUUCUUCUCUAUUCUUGAAUU